rnacentral:rRNA from 1 species
UACGUAGGGUGCGAGCGUUAAUCGGAAUUACUGGGCGUAAAGGGCGCGUAGGCGGCCAGCACAAGUCAGUUGUGAAAUCUCCGAGCUUAACUCGGAAAGGUCAACUGAUACUGUGCGGCUAGAGUGCGGAAGGGGCAACUGGAAUUCUUGGUGUAGCGGUGAAAUUCGUAGAUAUCAGGAGGAACACCGGUGGCGAAGGCGGCUUUCUGGACGAUAACUGACGCUGAGACGCGAAAGCGUGGGGAGCAAACAGG